AUUUAGACUAUACAGUUUUGAUAAGUUUUAGCCUAUGCAUAUAUCGAUGAAACCAUCAUCACAAUCAAGGUAACAAAUUUUCUAGCACCCCAAUACUUUCUUUGGGUCCCUCAUAAUCCCUCCCUCUCUCCCUUCCCUGCUCUCUCCCCAAAUGAUCCCCUUUCAGUCACUAUAGAUGACGUUACUUUGUCUAGAAUUGUAUACAAAUGUAGUCAAAUGGCAUGUAGGCUUUUCAUUUACUUUUAUUUAUAUUUUAUUUUUAUUUUUUUGCAGCAACGCUGAUCCCGCUGCCCCACAAGGGAGCUUCCUUGUCUGGCUUCUUUACUCAUCAUAAUUAUUUGGAGAAUAGAUGUGAAACAUUCAAUUAAGUCAGAGUUUAUAUGAUUUUAUAUGUGAUCAAACUUGCUACACAUAAAAAACCUCACAUGUAAUUAUGUGAUACCACAUGCUUUGUGUAUAUCAACAGUGAAACCGAUGCUCAGCUUUUUAAGCAUAAUUGUUCAUUGUGCCUCAGACUAAAACUCUGCUAGUAACCAAAGCCAUUUUCCUCUGAAGCUAUAAACACAAAGCAAAUGAUCUGUUAGCUGCCAACAAGCUUAUACGUAAGGGAAUAUAAAUAAGACACUUGAUAAAAGGCUCUCCUGUUGCCAAAAGAGGUGGCCAAAUAACCUGAAAAACCAAGCUGAAGAGUGGCUGUUUUGAGAUGCUGAACAAGACGACGAGACGGGAUCUGCCGAAUUCCUCUAAUACACUUAGACUGGACGCUGCCCCCCUCAACACACACGCACCUGUGUGCACGCACGUACAAUCAUUUACACGUGUAUACAACACAACGCUUUUGUCUUCCAUAAAUUGCUUGUAACCCAGAAUUUGAGUUCUGGCAAGUUGAGCAAGCUGCUGGAGACAUGUCACAGGGAAGUUUGGGACAUAAGACCUCAGGCACAAGCCACCUGGGAGCAAGGACCUCCCCCCCCCACCUCCACCACAAAAGUGAAGCCACCUUCCUUUCUCUCCAUGGCCUCAGUCUCCUCAUCUGGUCAUGGUCCUCAUUCUAAUGGUCUUUCUGGGCCAUGGGGUGCAGAGGACAGUCCCCCAUGUGGCCACAGGCUUGGACUGGCCCAGAGGUUGGGACUGGCAGGCUAAGUAGAUCUGGAGACGACAGGAUGCUCCCCUGCUGCAAGGAGUCCAUACCUUUCCUGGAGAUGCUUGUUUGCCUGGCUGUGCUUGGGACAGGAAGACACUGAGACAAAUGGAAGAGUGUUUCCUUCUGGUCUACAAAGCAGGUAGGGCGAGGCUUGGAACAACUGUCCAAAUUCAGAACUUGCUUCAGAAAGGGGAAAAAUUUGAGGGAGACGUGAAUACUGGACUAACUGAUGCUGGAGAAAAUUUUAUAAUGAGUGGAAAAUUUAGCUCUUGACUAGACCAUGGAAGUAGAACAUAAAACUGUACUGACCACUCUGAAGCAAGAGUACUGAAUUUCACUUUCAAAUCCAAGAUGGCGGUUAGAGCUAAUGGUUAGGGUGGGAGAAGGAUUUACUCCAAGGAGCUCACCCCUUUGGGUCAGGAAGCACGAUGAAUAUGAAUUUCAGGGAAUAACAUUGCAGAGAAACGAAAUGUCUUUCAAACAAUCAUAAUGCAUAUGCAAAUCACAUUAAAACUAAAUCGCCACUAUAUUUGAUGUUGCUAUCCACUGAGUGCUGUUGAUACAAAACAUUUCUCCACUCAGUUUAAGUGAAUGGG
rnacentral:lncRNA from 9 species